GUCCUUUUGUAAAUAAUUUAAGGUCUAAUCUGCCCACUGAGAUUUUAAAUGGCCGUGGUAUUUUGACCGUGCUAAGGUAGCAUAAUCAUUAGCUUUUUAAUUAAGAGCUGGAAUGAAAGGUUGGAUAAGAAAGUAGCUGUCUCUAUUAAAUUUUAUUAGAAUUUUAUUUUUAGGUUAAAAAGCCUAAGUUUACUUAAAAGACGAGAAGACCCUAUAGAGUUUGAUUGUUGAAUGAAAGUUAUUUUUUAGUAUUUAUAUGUAUGCAUAUUAUGUGACAAUUUAAUUGGGGUGAUUAAAAAAUUAAACUAACUUUUUUUAUUUAAAACCAUUAAUUUAUGAGUUAAUGAUCCAAUAUUUUUGAUUAUAAGAUAAAAUUACCUUAGGGAUAACAGCGUAAUUUUUUUAGAGAGUUCAUAUUAAAAGAAAAGAUUGCGA
rnacentral:rRNA from 1 species